rnacentral:rRNA from 1 species
AACGAACGCUGGCGGCAGGCUUAACACAUGCAAGUUGAACGGUAUGUAUGGUGCUUGCACUAUGCAGAGAGUAGCGCACUGGUGAGUAACACGUGGAAACAUACCCUUAAGUAAGGAACAACAGUUGGAAACGACUGCUAAUACCAUAUACGCCCUGAGGGGGAAAGAUUUAUUGCUGGAAGAUGAGCUUGCGUCUGAUUAGAUAGUAGGCGGGGUAGCGGCCCACCUAGUCGACGAUCAGUAGCCGGACUGAGAGGUUGAACGGCCACAUUGGAACUGAGAUACGGUCCAGACUCCUACGGGAGGCAGCAGUGGGGAAUAUUGGGCAAUGGGCGAAAGCCUGACCCAGCGACGCCGCGUGAGGGAAGAAGAUCUUCGGAUUGUAAACCUUAGUCAACAGGGAAGAAGAAAGUGACGGUACCUGUGGAGGAAGCCACGGCUAACUACGUG